rnacentral:rRNA from 1 species
GAUGAACGCUGGCGGCGUGCCUAAUACAUGCAAGUCGAGCGAACAGACGAGGAGCUUGCUCCUCUGACGUUAGCGGCGGACGGGUGAGUAACACGUGGAUAACCUACCUAUAAGACUGGGAUAACUUCGGGAAACCGGAGCUAAUACCGGAUAAUAUAUUGAACCGCAUGGUUCAAUAGUGAAAGACGGUUUUGCUGUCACUUAUAGAUGGAUCCGCGCCGCAUUAGCUAGUUGGUAAGGUAACGGCUUACCAAGGCAACGAUGCGUAGCCGACCUGAGAGGGUGAUCGGCCACACUGGAACUGAGACACGGUCCAGACUCCUACGGGAAGCAGCAGUAGGGAAUCUUCCGCAAUGGGCGAAAGCCUGACGGAGCAACGCCGCGUGAGUGAUGAAGGUCUUCGGAUCGUAAAACUCUGUUAUUAGGGAAGAACAAAUGUGUAAGUAACUAUGCACGUCUUGACGGUACCUAGUCAGAAAGCCACGGCUAACUACGUG